rnacentral:rRNA from 1 species
GACGAACGCUGGCGGCGUGCUUAACACAUGCAAGUCGAACGGUAAGGCCCUUCGGGGUAUACGAGUGGCGAACGGGUGAGUAACACGUGGGUGAUCUGCCCUGCACUUCGGGAUAAGCCUGGGAAACUGGGUCUAAUACCGGAUAGGACCACUGCCUGCAUGGGUGGUGGUGGAAAGCUUUUGCGGUGUGGGAUGGGCCCGCGGCCUAUCAGCUUGUUGGUGGGGGGAUGGCCUACCAAGGCGACGACGGGUAGCCGGCCUGAGAGGGUGACCGGCCACACUGGGACUGAGAUACGGCCCAGACUCCUACGGGAGGCAGCAGUGGGGAAUAUUGCACAAUGGGCGCAAGCCUGAUGCAGCGACGCCGCGUGAGGGAUGACGGCCUUCGGGUUGUAAACCUCUUUCAGCACCGACGAAGCGCAAGUGACGGUAGGUGCAGAAGAAGGACCGGCCAACUACGUGCCAGCAGCAGCCGCGG